ACGGGUGAGUAAUGCCUAGGAAUCUGCCUGGUAGUGGGGGACAACGUCUCGAAAGGGACGCUAAUACCGCAUACGUCCUACGGGAGAAAGCAGGGGACCUUCGGGCCUUGCGCUAUCAGAUGAGCCUAGGUCGGAUUAGCUAGUUGGUGAGGUAAUGGCUCACCAAGGCGACGAUCCGUAACUGGUCUGAGAGGAUGAUCAGUCACACUGGAACUGAGACACGGUCCAGACUCCUACGGGAGGCAGCAGUGGGGAAUAUUGGACAAUGGGCGAAAGCCUGAUCCAGCCAUGCCGCGUGUGUGAAGAAGGUCUUCGGAUUGUAAAGCACUUUAAGUUGGGAGGAAGGGUUGUAGAUUAAUACUCUGCAGUUUUGACGUUACCGACAGAAUAAGCACCGGCUAACUCUGUGCCAGCAGCCGCGGUAAUACAGAGGGUGCAAGCGUUAAUCGGAAUUACUGGGCGUAAAGCGCGCGUAGGUGGUUUGUUAAGUUGGAUGUGAAAGCCCCGGGCUCAACCUGGGAACUGCAUUCAAAACUGACAAGCUAGAGUAUGGUAGAGGGUGGUGGAAUUUCCUGUGUAGCGGUG
rnacentral:rRNA from 6 species